AGAGUUUGAUCCUGGCUCAGAACGAACGCUGGCGGCAUGCCUAACACAUGCAAGUCGAACGGUAACAGGUCUUCGGAUGCUGACGAGUGGCGAACGGGUGAGUAAUACAUCGGAACGUGCCCGAGAGUGGGGGAUAACGAAGCGAAAGCUUUGCUAAUACCGCAUACGAUCUCAGGAUGAAAGCAGGGGACCGCAAGGCCUUGCGCUCACGGAGCGGCCGAUGGCAGAUUAGGUAGUUGGUGGGAUAAAAGCUUACCAAGCCGACGAUCUGUAGCUGGUCUGAGAGGACGACCAGCCACACUGGGACUGAGACACGGCCCAGACUCCUACGGGAGGCAGCAGUGGGGAAUUUUGGACAAUGGGCGGAAGCCUGAUCCAGCCAUGCCGCGUGAAGGAUGAAGGCGCUCAGCGUUGUAAACUUCUUUUGGACAGGAACAAUAACCCCGACGUGUCGGGGCUUGAGGGUACUGUCAGAAUAAGCACCGGCUAACUCCGUGCCAGCAGCCGCGGUAAUA
rnacentral:rRNA from 1 species